AUGUCCGGUUCCCUCGGGGGAUGGAUCCAUAAGAAUUCACCUAUCCCAAUAACAAAAAACCAGAUUUGAAUGAUCCUGUAUUACGAGCUAAAUUAGCUAAAGGUAUGGGUCAUAAUUAUUACGGAGAGCCCGCAUGGCCCAAUGAUCUUUUAUAUAUUUUUCCAGUAGUCAUUCUUGGUACCAUUGCCUGUAACGUAGGCUUAGCGGUUUUAGAACCAUCAAUGAUUGGUGAACCUGCGGAUCCUUUUGCAACUCCUUUGGAAAUAUUACCUGAAUGGUAUUUCUUUCCUGUAUUUCAAAUACUUCGUACAGUGCCUAACAAAUUAUUGGGUGUUCUUUUAAUGGCUUCAGUACCGGCGGGAUUAUUAACCGUACCCUUUUUGGAAAAUGUUAAUAAGUUCCAAAAUCCAUUUCGUCGUCCAGUCGCGACAACCGUCUUUUUGAUUGGCACCGUGGUGGCCCUGUGGUUAGGUAUUGGAGCAACAUUACCAAUUGAUAAAUCUCUAACUUUAGGUCUUUUUUAAUUAAAUUUAUUCAAUUGUAAAAUAAAAGGCGUGGGUAUCUAGGGAGUAGUCAUUUCAAAAUGAAUUCUCCCUAGAUACAUAUCUAAAUUAAUUUUAUUAAGUAAAAUAGGUUUGACUGGAAAAUCGAAAUUACGUUGAAGGUUUAAAAUCCAUUUCAAUUUUAAAUUGACUUUUUAGUCAAAUUUUUUUUAAUGCUUUUUUUAUUUUUUUUCUAAAAUGUCUAAUAUCUUUUUUACAUCUUCUAUGUGAAAAUGUUCCAUUUUGAUAAGGUCUUCUUGACUGUUAUUCAAAAGAUCCAAUAAUGUAUGUAUAUUGGACUUUUUGAGACAAUUAUAGAUUCUGGGAGGCAAUUCUAAUUGGUCAAUAAAAAUAUAUUGAAACGCUAGUUCUUUUUUUUUUUUUCUUAGGUUAACUAAUCUAUUAUGAAAAGGAAAAAGGGGUAAAGUAACUUGAUGUUGAUUGUUCUCUAAAUAGAACGUUUCUUCUUCUACAUGUAGAAAAAUAAUAAAUUAAUCAAAUUCCGGGAGGCUUCAUGAAGUGCUUCUUUAGGAGUUAAACUUCCAUUUGUCCAUAUUUCUAGAAAAAGAAUCUCUUGUUUUUCAUUCCCAUUCCCAUAAGAAUGAAUACUAUGAUUCGCAUUUUGAACAGGCAUGAAUACAGCAUCUAUAGGAUAACUUCGGUCUUCAAAGUUAUUUGACAUUUUUAAACUAUAUCCGCGAUUCCUCUCGAUUUUUAAUCCAAUACACAAAUUUAUUGGUUCCGUUAAGGUAGCUAUAUGCUGUGUAUUAUCAACGAUUUCCACAGAGGGCGGUAAAACUAUGUCUCGAGCAGUUAUAUAUCCGGGACCUUGGACACAAAUAAGCGCGUUGCGCGUUCCAUAUAGAUUACUUUUUAAUACAAUCUCGUUCAAAUUCAUUAAAAUUUCAUGUACUGAUUCUUGAAUACCGACUAUGUUAGAAUAGUCAUGUGGUAUGUUCUCAGAUUUUGCACGUGUAAUACAUGUUCCUUCUAUUUCGCCAAGUAAAGCUCUUCGCAUCGCAAUGCCUAUUGUGUCGGCUUGACCUUUCAUAAGUGGAGACAGAAUAAAGCGUCCAUAAUAAAGACGCUUACUGUCUCUUCUUGAUUCAACACACUUCCACUGUAGUGUCCGAGUAGAUACUUUGACUUUCUCUCGAACCAUAGUAAUUUUAUUUGAUCAGAUCAUUGAAUCAUUUAUUUCUCUUGAAACCCUUUCAGCCUUUAUUUAGUUCUAUACACGUCGUUUUUUAGGGGGUCUACAACCAUUAUGUGGCAUAGGGGUUACAUCUCGUACGAAACUUAAAAGUAUACCGCUUCUACGAAUAGCUCGUAAUGCUGCAUCUCUUCCUAGUCCAGGGCCUUUUAUCCUUACUUCAGCUCGUUGCAUACCUUGAUCCACUACUGCUCGAAUAGCAUUUCCUGCUGCGGUUUGAGCAGCAAAAGGUGUUCCUCUUCUUGUACCCCUGAAUCCACAAGUACCCGCGGAGGACCAAGAAAUCACCCGACCCCGUACAUCUGUAACGGUCACAAUGGUAUUGUUGAAACUUGCUUGAACAUGAAUAACUCCCUUUGGUAUUCUACGUACAUUUUUACGUGAACCACUACGGGUAUUUUUACGUGAACCAAUUCUUAAUAUAGGUUUUGCCAUAUUUUUUCAUUUCACAAGAAAUAUAUGGAUAUAUCCAUUUCAUGUCAAAACGGACCUUUUUUUACUAGCUCCUUGGAAGUGCCUUUUCCUUUAGUAAGAUUAUCCUUGUCUUUGUUUAUGCCUCGGGUUGGAACAAAUUACUAUAAUUCGUCCCCUCCUACGGAUUAGCCGACACUUUUCACAAAUUUUACGAACGGAAGCCCUUAUUUUCAUAGUUGUUAUUCCUUAAUUCUCUUAAUAUACUUAUUGUUGGACGAAAAAAAGGUUUCUUGAUAUUUUUGAAUCUUGAAUUGUAUCUUCGUGAAAGGAAUGUUGAAUUUCAAAAAACCACUGACUUAUUUGAAUCCUUGUUAUGGAGUCUAGAAAGUGGCUGUUCCCCGAUUAACUUAAUACCUAAGAACUUACUAAAAUUUUUACCCCCCUUUUCUCCUAUAGGUAUACCUAUACAAAAAUAUGUCGAAUCCUUUCAGAAGCAUGACCUAAAAUAAAAAAAAUCUUUAGUAUCUAAACAAAAUCGAACCAUACCGUUCGGAAGUGAUUCAUAAAGAAAACUUUCAUUAAUUCAUUUUUUUCUUUAAUUUCAUUCGGGGUAAAAAAAUUCUAAACUUUUUUAGCAGGGGUGGUAUUACACAACCCCCCCCCUUUUUUUUCACAAAUGCUAAGUUCCGGAUAUCCAAUUUUGAUAUUAGAAGGAUUACCAUAUAUAACACAAAAUUUCUCCGCCGAUUCUUUUUAGUCGAGCUUCUCGAUCUGUCAUUAUACCUUGAGAAGUUGAAAGGAUUACAAUUCCUAUUCCGCCUAAAAUUCGUGGAAUUCGUUGAGAGUUAGAAUAGAUUCGUAGACCCGGUCGGCUUAUUCUCUUUAAAUUUAAAAUCGUUUUAUAGGAUUCUUUCUUAUUUCGUCUAUGUCUUAGGGUUAAAAUCAAAAAAUAUUGAUUGUUUUCGCGAUGUUUCCUUACGUUUUCGAUAAAACCCUCUCGUAAAAGUAUUUUAACAAUGCUUUCGGUGAUGUUAGUCGAUCCUAUCCGAACUGUUCCUUUUCUAUUCAUGUCAGCAUUUCGUAUAGAGGUUAUUAUAUCAGCAAUAGUGUCUUUCCCCAUGAUAAGUUAAAAUUCCUUAAUUGUUCUAUAAUUUUGAUAUAAUCAACAUGUUAUUUUUCUUUUAUUUAUAUAAAAAUAGAGACGAAUUAUAUAUUAAUAUAUGAAUUCAAUUAUUAAUAUAUAAAAUUAUUAAGGGUAUAUGCGUGAUACACAAUCUAUUAAUUAUAAUUAAUUUGAUUUCAAUACCAUUUUUUUAAUCCUAUCCUAUAUUAACUAUCGAUAUUUAGGUCUUAUAAUACUUCAGGAGCUAAUGAAACUAUUUUAGUAAAGUUUAAUUGUCUCAAUUCCCGUGGGAUCGCCCCAAAAACGCGAGUUCCUUUUGGAUUUCCUUCUUGAUCAAUGACAACUGCGGCAUUGUCGUCAUAUCGUAUUAUCGUCCCAUUCUUACGUUUGAGUUCUUUACAAGUACGUACAAUUACAGCUCUGACCACUUCUGAUCUUUCUAGAGUAGUAUUUGGGAUUGCUUCCUUGAUUACAGCAACAAUAACGUCACCAAUAUGAGCAUAGCGGCGAUUACUAGCUCCUAUUAUUCGAAUACACAUCAAUUUUCGAGCCCCGCUGUUGUCUGCUACAUUCAAAUAGGUUUGUGGUUGAAUCAUAUUUUUGUAUCUCUUCUUUUAGUGCAAAGGACGAAGUAAAAAAAAUAUUGUUUGUCAAAAAAAACUUAGAAUCUUUUUAUCCUUAAAUGUUAUUUAGCUUUUUCAUUCUAUAUUCCUAUUCAGAAAUAAUGAAUUGGGUUUUUAUAGGCAUUUUUGAUGCCGCGAUUGAAAUAGCUUUUCUGGCUAUAUUUUCUGGUACACCACCCAUUUCAUAAAGGAUUUUACCUGGUUUAACCACAGCUACCCAGUACUCUGGGGAUCCUUUCCCAGAACCCAUACGCGUUUCCGCGGGUCUUACUGUAACUGGCUUGUCUGGAAAUAUACGUACCCAAAUUUUUCCACCACGUCGUAUAUUUCGUGUCAUUGCUCGUCGCCCUGCUUCUAUUUGUCUAGAUGUAAUCCAAGCGGGUUCAAGUGUUUGAAGAGCAUAUCUGCCAAAACAAAUACGAUUCCCACGAGAGGAUAUUCCUUUUAGUCUUCCUCGAUGUUGUUUACGAAAUUUGGUUCUUUUUGGGUUAUAGUUGAUGGGUUUUUUCUAAAUGAGAAAUUCCAUCUCUACUGCAGAACUGGACGUGAGAGUUUCUUCUCAUCCAGCUCCUCGCGAAUAAAAGGAUUAAUUAAGAUAUAGAUGUAGUUAAUGAUUAAUCCUAUUAAUCAUGGUAUUUUUUUUUAUUUCAUCUUAUCUCUUCUAAAUUUGUGUAUGUCUUUUUUGAAAUAGAAUCAAAGAUCAAUUUUAUUUCGAUUUAUUUAAAAAUAACGUAAUAUCAUCAUUACAAAUGUAAUUUUUAUUAGAGUUAGAAUAUUAUAACAAAUCCUUAUUUUUUUUUCAUUGUUUUUUUCAUCUUUUAUUACUGUUUUUAUUUGAAAAAAAAAACCAAUUUUUCGCCGGCGAAUAUUUACUCUUUCAAUAUCUAUUUAAGUUUGCUGUUUAUCCCCCGGGUCUCAGAAUCAAAAUCAGAAUAGAUAAUAAAGUUUCUGGUUUAUUCCGCCAUCCUGUCCAAUGAAUUACUAAGAUUUCUUGUUCACUAGAAUCCUAUAUAUUCAUGGGUUCCGUCGUUCCCAUCGCUUCUUGAUUAAUCAUUAGGCCUGAAUUCUACAAUGGAGCUUUUACAUGAAAUUUUGAAUUUCUUUUUUUUUUGAGGCAAUUUUCUCAGUUUUGAUUGUCUCAAGGCUCUUAAUUUUUUGUUUUCGGAACAGAUUUAUCUAAUUAUUAUUAUUUAUCUAAUUAUUAUGAAUGAAUCUGUAUUGAUGCUUUAUUACAUUGCUUUUCUUACAGUGACCUCAUAGAUUUUCCAAAUUGGAAUCAUAUAUCAUUAAUAUUCAAUUUUUUCGCUCUUUCUUUCAUCCUUCCAUUUAUCCGCAUACUUUUUGAUUACCUUUCAUAACUUAAUAAUCAUCUUUCUUUAUUCUUUUUUUUUAGUCAGUUGCUCCAAUGAUAUGAUCAGCCUAUCAUAUCUUGACUAAUUUUUUGGAUCCAGAUAAUGCGAAGCAAUGAGUUGCUUAGGUUAUUUAUUAAUGCUGUAGUUAUUAGUUGGUAAGUUCUUUUUUUUUUUUAUCGUAAUCUAACCCUAAACCAACGAGUCACACACUAAGCAUAGCAAUUAUAUCAAAGGAGUUUUGAUGGAAAUGUUUAUUCAACCUUAUAGAAUUGCUUAUUUUUUUUUCUUAAACAUAAAAAAGAAGACUACAAGUUUUUAUUUUUAUUUCUUUAUAGUGUUAUACUACAUAGUUUUCGUUUUUUAUCAUUGGAUAAAAUGUAAAGACAAAUAAAGUUUUUUUAUUCUUCGUCUACGAAUAUCCAAAUUUUUAUUCCUAAAACCCCAUAAAUAGUUCGAACUGUAUAGGAACAAUAAUCAAUUUUAGCUUCAAUUGUUUGUAAAGGAACUCUGCCUUCUCUGAUCCAUUCAACACGUGCAAUUUCUUUUCCGUCGAUACGUCCUGCAAUUUGUACUUGAAUUCCUUUUGUAUUCGCCUGUUCAGUUAAUUCAAUAGCUUUUUUCAUUGCUUUUCGAAAAGAAACGCGAUUUUUUAAUUGGCCAGCUAUAAAUUCUGCAAGAAUAUUAGGAUGCCCAUACGGAUUGGAAAUUCGGGUAAUAGCAAUGUUGAGUUUUCUAUUGACACAAUUAAGUUCUUUUUGAACAUUCAUCUGUAAUUCUUCGAUUCUUCGGGGUUUAUCUUCAAUUAAUAAUUUAGGAAAUCCCAUAUAGAUUAUGAUCUGAAUGAGAUCGAUUCUUUUUUGAAUUUCGAUACGUGCAAUUCCCUCCAUACCAGAGGAUAUUCUUAUAUUUUUUUGGACAUAAUUUUUAAUACAGUCUCGUAUUUUUUUAUCUUCUUCUAAACCUUCAGAAUACUUUUUUGGUUGUGCAAACCAAAUAGAAUGAUGACUUUGGGUUGUACCAAGUCUGAAACCAAGUGGAUUUAUUUUUUGUCCCAUGGCCUCCACUACUAUAUGUAUCGUAACAUGUUAGAUUUAUGUUUUCAUUGCUGCAUCCAGGUUUUUUUAAAUACAUUAAAUAUUCUUCAUAUUGUUGAUAUAAGGAUAUAUCUUCCAAUACGAUAGUUAUAUGACAAGUGGAUCUUUUUAUUGGGUAACUCCGUCCUCGUGCCCGAGGUUUUAAUUUUUUCACCGUAUUUCCUUGAUUCACUUCAGCUUUACUAAUGACUAAAUUGGUUUCUUUGAAACCCUUAUUAUGACUAGCAUUUGCUGCUGCAGAAUAAACUAAUUUAAAAAUGGGAUAACAUCCUCGAUACGGCAUAAGUUCUAAUAUCAUAAGUGCUUCUUCGUAGGAACGUCCACGGAUCUGAUCAAUAACUCUCCGUGCUUUGUGGGCAGACAUAGAUAUAUAUUGCCCUAAAGCAUAUACGGAAGUAUAUGAUUUCUUCUUUUUCUUCUUUAUCAUAAGGUUUACCUCUCACUAAAAAAAAAUUAUAUUCAUUAUUCAUUUUUUUGAAUUCAUUUAAUUAACGACGAGAUCUAUUAUCAUUUUUCGCGUGUCCUCUAAAAUUUAUAGUAGGUGAAAAUUCUCCCAAUUUAUGUCCUACCAUAAGGUCGAUUAUAUAAACGGGUAAGUGUUCCCUUCCAUUAUGUAUAGCGAUAGUAUGGCCAAUCAUUGUGGGUAUAAUAGUAGAUGCCCGGGACCAAGUUAUUAUGAUUUCUUUUUCCGCCUUUGUAUUAAGCUUCUCUAUUUUUCUUAAUAAAUGCUUUGCUACAAAAGGAUUUUUUUUUAGUGAACGUGUCACAGUUAAUUAACUCCUAUUUUUUUUAAGACGAAGAAAGAAAUUCGAUUUUCUCUCCUAUUUACUACGGCGACGAAGAAUCAAAGUCUCACUAUAUUUUUUCCUUUUUCUAGUUCUUCUUCCAAGCGCAGGAUAACCCCAGGGGUUACGGGUUUUUUUCUACCAAUUGGAGCCCUCCCUUCACCACCUCCAUGGGGGUGGUCGACAGGGUUCAUAACUACUCCUCUUACUACAGGACGUUUACCUAGCCAACAUUUCGAUCCGGCUCUACCCAAACUUUUCUGGUUUACCCCAACAUUUCCCACUUGUCCGACUGUUGCUGAGCAGUUUUUGGAUAUCAAACGGACCUCUCCAGAAGGUAAUUUUAAUGUGGCC